rnacentral:rRNA from 1 species
UACGUAGGGUGCAAGCGUUGUCCGGAAUUAUUGGGCGUAAAGAGCUCGUAGGCGGUUUGUCGCGUCUGCUGUGAAAACUCGGGGCUCAACUCCGAGCUUGCAGUGGGUACGGGCAGACUAGAGUGCGGUAGGGGAGACUGGAAUUCCUGGUGUAGCGGUGAAAUGCGCAGAUAUCAGGAGGAACACCAAUGGCGAAGGCAGCUCGCUGGGACGGUACUGACGCUGAGACGCGAAAGCGUGGGGAGCAAACAGG